rnacentral:tRNA from 1 species
GCACCCGUAGCUCAGCCGGAUAGAGCGCUGCCCUCCGAAGGCAGAGGCCGGAGGUUCGAAUCCUCCCGGGUGCGCCA